ensembl:misc_RNA 7SK 7SK RNA
GGCUGUGAGGAUGAUGUCAUUGUAACAUCUGUUGCCCUGCUGAUUGCCAGGGCUGACUCCGCUGAUCUGGCUGGCAAGGUGGAUGUCCCCUUCCUCUCGCUAAGAGCUCGCCACUAUGUUGCUUGGUUGAUGCCGACUUCCCUGCUAUGGGAGGACCAGUCUUUAGUCAAGGGUAUAGGAGUAGCUGUGCUCCCCAGCUGGAACUUCCAAACAAACUGCUAAAAUUUUCUAAGUUGUUGCAGUACUUUUUUUCUGACAUUCUUUCUAUGUGGUAUUAAUAUAAAA